rnacentral:tRNA from 1 species
AUUUAUAUAAUUUAAAAAUCAAAAUAUUACAUUUUCACUGUAAACAUAAAAUUAUAUUUUUAUAAAUA